AACGAACGCUGGCGGCAUGCCUAACACAUGCAAGUCGAACGAGACCUUCGGGUCUAGUGGCGCACGGGUGCGUAACGCGUGGGAACCUUCCCUUAGGUUCGGAAUAACUCCCCGAAAGGGGUGCUAAUACCGGAUAAUGUCUUCGGACCAAAGAUUUAUCGCCUUUGGAUGGGCCCGCGUUGGAUUAGCUAGUUGGUAGGGUAAAAGCCUACCAAGGCGACGAUCCAUAGCUGGUCUGAGAGGAUGAUCAGCCACACUGGGACUGAGACACGGCCCAGACUCCUACGGGAGGCAGCAGUGGGGAAUAUUGGACAAUGGGCGAAAGCAUGAUCCAGCAAGGCCGCGUGAGUGAUGAAGGCCUUAGGGUUGUAAAGCUCUUUUAACCGGGAUGAUAAUGACAGUACCGGGAGAAUAAGCUCCGGCUAACUCCGUG
rnacentral:rRNA from 1 species